ensembl:snRNA U6 U6 spliceosomal RNA
GUGCUCACUUCUGCAGCAUAUAUACUCAAGUUGGAAUGAUACAGAGAAGAUUAAUAUGGCCCCUGCUCAAGGAUCACAUGCAAAUUUGUAAAGCGUCAUAAUAAAGA